rnacentral:lncRNA from 1 species
UAAUAACUUUAGUGUAAGUAAACAGAAAUCAAUAAAAUUUUAACACAAUGUUUAUAAUCACAAAAGGAAGCCUGGGAUUGAUGGGGUUAUGGUCCCUAAGGUUUAGGAAUUAGGGGCCCAAAGGGCCCAAAAAUAGCAUUUAUCUAGUGUCAAAACAAUAAGUUGUGUAUGAGUAUUUCAAUUGUUCUGAAAUUGUACCACAAUGUUUUAUACCAUAAGUAGAAGGUUGAGAUAUAUUUUAAGGGUUAUGGGCCAAACAGUCUAGGAAUAAAGGGCCAAAAACAAGCAUUUUUGUAGUUUCAAGUCAAUAAAUUGGAGUUAUCUUUCUUUGUCCAGAAUAGGUGUUGCAUCACCUAAAACCAAUGCUUUAUGUAAUCUUCUUUGAAAAUUUGAGUUAUCUUUCUUUUGUCCAGAAUAGAAGUUGAAUCAACUUAAAUCAAUGCUAUAUACAAUAUACAAUGCAAUAUUCACUUUACUACCAACUAAUAAAUUAAAGCAGUCUUUACCAUUCAGUGAUUACA